CCUGCCCCUGGAGGCAUUACAGGUGUGGCUGCUGUGUCACAUGCCUGUCAGUAGGUGGCAGGGAAGAGAGAGGCUAUGUCUAAACUGAGUAUUCUGGUCUAUGAACAUCUGACUUAGUAACCUAACAUU